rnacentral:lncRNA from 1 species
GGGAUGGCCUUGAAGUGAAAGGCGAGGUUGCUGUAAGCGGCUAAUCAUAGGCUGUGGGGACACUCUACUAUAUUCUAUUCCCCGAGCAGGAGAUCGUGAACGAGGUGAAUUUCUGGGUGACUGCUUAGGUGACGGUCGAGGUGAAUUGCGUGGUGAUGGUGAAAACCUGUUAACAGCAGGGUAUACUGCAUGAUGCAUAUUGUCAUCUUCAUCAUCUAAACUUUGUGCAUCAAGUUCCUGAUCACUAAAAGUACCCCGUCUUGUAGAAUUGCAAGAUGAACCAGAACUGCGCCGAGACGUGGUGGCUGCAUAUUCUUGCCGGAGACCUGGCAACAA